rnacentral:rRNA from 1 species
CCUACGGGAGGCAGCAGUAGGGAAUUUUCGUCAAUGGGCGCAAGCCUGAACGAGCGAUGCCGCGUGAGUGAAGAAGGCCUUCGGGUCGUAAAGCUCUGUUGCGGGGGAAAAAAGGCAGCACCAGGAAAUGGGUGCUGAUUGAUGGCGCCCCGCCAGAAAGUCACGGCUAACUACGUACCAGCAGCCGCGGUAAUACGUAGGUGGCGAGCGUUAUCCGGAUGGAUUGGGCGUAAAGGGUGCGCAGGCGGGCCUGCAAGUCUGGAGUGAAAGGCAUGCGCCCAACUCAUGCAUGGCUUUGGAAACUGGAUGGCUGGAGAGCAGGAGAGGUAAGUGGAACUCCAUGUGUAGCGGUAAAAUGCGUAGAUAUUAGGAAGAACACCAGUGGCGAAGGCGGCUGACUGGCCUGUAGCUGACGCUGAGGCACGAAAGCGUGGGGAGCAAAUAGGAUUAGAUACCCCUGUAGUC